rnacentral:tRNA from 1 species
GCCUCUGUAGCUAAGUAGUACAGCAGCCGCCUUUUAAGCGGAAGAUCGGGGGUGCGAUGCCCUUCAGAGGCA